UUUGUGUGGUGAUAUGUCACAGGUCCUUGAGGGAGAUGGAGGGAUAAAUAACUUUGUGUGGUGAUAUGUUACAGGUCCUUGAGGGAGAUGGAGGGAUAAAUAACUUUGUGUGGUGAUAUGUUACAGGUCCUUGAGGGAGAUGGAGGGAUAAAUAACUUUGUGUGGUGAUAUGUUACAGGUCCUUGAGGGAGAUGGAGGGAUAAAUAACUUUGUGUGGUGAUAUGUUACAGGUCCUUGAGGGAGAUGGAGGGAUAAAUAACUUUGUGUGGUGAUAUGUUACAGGUCCUUGAGGGAGAUGGAGGGAUAAAUAACUUUGUGUGGUGAUAUGUUACAGGUCCUUGAGGGAGAUGGAGGGAUAAAUAACUUUGUGUGGUGAUAUGUUACAGGUCCUUGAGGGAGAUGGAGGGAUAAAUAACUUUGUGUGGUGAUAUGUUACAGGUCCUUGAGGGAGAUGGAGGGAUAAAUAACUUUGUGUGGUGAUAUGUUACAGGUCCUUGAGGGAGAUGGAGGGAUAAAUAACUUUGUGUGGUGAUAUGUUACAGGUCCUUGAAGGAGAUGGGGGGGAUACAUAACUUUGUGUGGUGAUAUGUUACAGGUCCUUGAGGGAGAUGGAGGGAUAAAUAACUUUGUGUGGUGAUAUGUUACAGGUCCUUGAAGGAGAUGGGGGGGAUACAUAACUUUGUGUGGUGAUAUGUUACAGGUCCUUGAGGGAGAUGGAGGGAUAAAUAACUUUGUGUGGUGAUAUGUUACAGGUCCUUGAGGGAGAUGGAGGGAUAAAUAACUUUGUGUGGUGAUAUGUUACAGGUCCUUGAUGGAGGGAUAAAUAACUUUGUGUGGUGAUAUGUUACAGGUCCUUGAGGGAGAUGGAGGGAUACAUAACUUUGUGUGGUGAUAUGUUACAGGUCCUUGAGGGAGAUGGAGGGAUAAAUAACUUUGUGUGGUGAUAUGUUACAGGUCCUUGAGGGAGAUGGAGGGAUAAAUAACUUUGUGUGGUGAUAUGUUACAGGUCCUUGAAGGAGAUGGAGGGAUAAAUAACUUUGUGUGGUGAUAUGUUACAGGUCCUUGAGGGAGAUGGAGGGAUAAAUAACUUUGUGUGGUGAUAUGUUACAGGUCCUUGAGGGAGAUGGAGGGAUAAAUAACUUUGUGUGGUGAUAUGUUACAGGUCCUUGAGGGAGAUGGAGGGAUAAAUAACUUUGUGUGGUGAUAUGUUACAGGUCCUUGAGGGAGAUGGAGGGAUAAAUAACUUUGUGUGGUGAUAUGUUACAGGUCCUUGAGGGAGAUGGAGGGAUACAUAACUUUGUGUGGUGAUAUGUUACAGGUCCUUGAGGGAGAUGGAGGGAUAAAUAACUUUGUGUGGUGAUAUGUUACAGGUCCUUGAGGGAGAUGGAGGGAUAAAUAACUUUGUGUGGUGAUAUGUUACAGGUCCUUGAUGGAGGGAUAAAUAACUUUGUGUGGUGAUAUGUUACAGGUCCUUGAGGGAGAUGGAGGGAUAAAUAACUUUGUGUGGUGAUAUGUUACAGGUCCUUGAGGGAGAUGGAGGGAUAAAUAACUUUGUGUGGUGAUAUGUUACAGGUCCUUGAUGGAGGGAUAAAUAACUUUGUGUGGUGAUAUGUUACAGGUCCUUGAGGGAGAUGGAGGGAUAAAUAACUUUGUGUGGUGAUAUGUUACAGGUCCUUGAGGGAGAUGGAGGGCUAAAUAACUUUGUGUGGUGAUAUGUUACAGGUCCUUGAUGGAGGGAUAAAUAACUUUGUGUGGUGAUAUGUUACAGGUCCUUGAGGGAGAUGGAGGGAUAAAUAACUUUGUGUGGUGAUAUGUUACAGGUCCUUGAUGGAGGGAUAAAUAACUUUGUGUGGUGAUAUGUUACAGGUCCUUGAGGGAGAUGGAGGGAUAAAUAACUUUGUGUGGUGAUAUGUUACAGGUCCUUGAGGGAGAUGGAGGGAUAAAUAACUUUGUGUGGUGAUAUGUUACAGGUCCUUGAGGGAGAUGGAGGGAUAAAUAACUUUGUGUGGUGAUAUGUUACAGGUCCUUGAGGGAGAUGGAGGGAUAAAUAACUUUGUGUGGUGAUAUGUUACAGGUCCUUGAGGGAGAUGGAGGGAUAAAUAACUUUGUGUGGUGAUAUGUUACAGGUCCUUGAGGGAGAUGGAGGGAUAAAUAACUUUGUGUGGUGAUAUGUUACAGGUCAUUGAGGGAGAUGGAGGGAUAAAUAACUUUGUGUGGUGAUAUGUUACAGGUCCUUGAGGGAGAUGGAGGGAUAAAUAACUUUGUGUGGUGAUAUGUUACAGGUCCUUGAGGGAGAUGGAGGGAUAAAUAACUUUGUGUGGUGAUAUGUUACAGGUCCUUGAGGGAGAUGGGAUGAAUAACUUUGUGUGGUGAUAUGUUACAGGUCCUUGAGGGAGAUGGGAUGAAUAACUUUGUGUGGUGAUAUGUUACAGGUCCUUGAGGGAGAUGGAGGGAUAAAUAACUUUGUGUGGUGAUAUGUUACAGGUCCU